rnacentral:siRNA from 1 species
UUUAUGUUUCUUGUGCCAGUA